rnacentral:rRNA from 1 species
UGGGGAAUCUUGCGCAAUGGACGCAAGUCUGACGGAGCCACGCCGCGUGAGUGAAGAAGGACUUCGGUUCGUAAAACUCUGUUGGUAGAGAAGAACAGCGCUUAGAGUAACCGUUAUGCGUGUGACGGUAUCUAACCAGAAAGCCACGGCUAACUACGUGCCAGCAGCCGCGGUAAUACGUAGGUGGCAAGCGUUGUCCGGAUUUAUUGGGCGUAAAGCGAGCGCAGGCGGUCAAUUAAGUCGGAUGUGAAAGCCCCCGGCUCAACCGGGGAGCUGCAUUGGAAACUGGUUGACUUGAGUACAGAAGAGGGGAGUGGAAUUCCAUGUGUAGCGGUGAAAUGCGUAGAUAUAGGAAGGAACACCAGUGGCGAAGGCGACUCCCUGGUCUGUAACUGACGCUGAGGCUCGAAAGCGUGGGUAGCAAACAGG